rnacentral:rRNA from 1 species
AUUGAACGCUGGCGGCAGGCCUAACACAUGCAAGUCGAACGGUAACAGGAAGAAGCUUGCUUCUUUGCUGACGAGUGGUGGACGGGUGAGUAAUGUCUGGGAAACUGCCUGAUGGAGGGGGAUAACUACUGGAAACGGUAGCUAAUACCGCAUAAUGUCGCAAGACCAAAGAGGGGGACCUUCGGGCCUCUUGCCAUCGGAUGUGCCCAGAUGGGAUUAGCUAGUAGGUGGGGUAACGGCUCACCUAGGCGACGAUCCCUAGCUGGUCUGAGAGGAUGACCAGCCACACUGGAACUGAGACACGGUCCAGACUCCUACGGGAGGCAGCAGUGGGGAAUAUUGCACAAUGGGCGCAAGCCUGAUGCAGCUAUGCCGCGUGUAUGAAGAAGGCCUUCGGGUUGUAAAGUACUUUCAGCGGGGAGGAAGGGAGUAAAGUUAAUACCUUUGCUCAUUGACGUUACCCGCAGAAGAAGCACCGGCUAACUCCGUG